rnacentral:rRNA from 1 species
UGCCGCGUGCNGGAAGANUGCCCUAUGGGUUGUAAACUGCUUUUAUACNGGAAGAAACACUGCUACNUGUAGCAGCUUGACGGUACUGUAAGAAUAANGACCGGCUAACUCCGUGCCAGCAGCCGCGGUAAUACGGAGGGUCCGAGCGUUAUCCGGAAUCAUUGGGUUUAAAGGGUCCGCAGGCGGUCAAUUAAGUCANAGGUGAAAUCCCAUAGCUUAACUAUGGAACUGCCUUUGAUACUGGUUGACUUGAGUCAUAUGGAAGUAAAUAGAAUGUGUAGUGUAGCGGUGAAAUGCAUAGAUAUUACACAGAAUACCGAUUGCGAAGGCAGUCUACUACNUAUGUACUGACG